rnacentral:rRNA from 1 species
GAUCCUGCCGGCGGGCACCGCUAUUGGAGUUCGCUUAAGCCAUGCGAGUCGAGAGGGGUAAGCCCUCGGCGCACUGCUCAGUAACACGCGGACAAUCUGCCCUCGAGACGGGGAUAAUCCCGGGAAACUGGGAAUAAUACCCGAUAGGUCUGGGAUGAUGGAAGGCUCCCUGGCCAAAAUCUUCCGGGGCUCGAGGAUGGGUCUGCGGCCUAUCAGGUCGUAGGGGGCUUUACGGACCCCCUAGCCGAAGACGGGUACGGGCUUUGGGAGAAGUCGCCCGGAGAUGGAUUCUGAGACACGAAUCCAGGUCCUACGGGACGCAGCAGGCGCGAAACCUCCACAAUGUGGGCAACCACGAUGGGGGAACUCCAAGUGCUUACACUUUUGUGUAAGCUGUUCUCGAGCCUAAAAAGCUCGAGAAGUAAGGGCCGGGUAAGACGGGUGCCAGCCGCCGCGGUAAUACCCGCGGCCCGAGUGGUGCUCAUUAUUAUUGAGCCUAAAGCGUCCGUAGCUGGCCGGGCAAAUCUCCGGGUAAAUCGGGCCGCUCAACGGUCCGAAUUCCGGAGACACUGCUCGGCUUGGGAUCGGGAGAGGGUGAAGUACUCCCGG